AAGACGAUGAAUAGAGUACAAAUAAGAAUAAUUCACUUACCCACAGUAUGCACCAGCUCGAGACCAGCUGGACGCUUUUCUGGCAAGUUUCUUUUGGACGGUUAUACAAUUCAUCGCUGAACAUAAGGGAUAUUAGCUCUAUCCAUUCAGUAUAAAUCAAUAAGGAAAAACUGUACCGUCUCCAGAACGACGAGCUUAUGUGUGCGUAAGAUACUUCUCAGCGACUUUCCGUAACCACUUGAUCGUUAACAAGUGAUGACGUCAUUACUAACACUUAUGCUGCCUCAUUCACUGAUCCGAACAGUAUGCCGCCAAAAUGACGUCAAAAUGGGGUAAGAACGAAAAUUUGGCUCGAGGCGCAGCCAGUGUUAAUAAUAUUCUGACCACAUUUGAACGUCAUCUAUGAACUAUUAUUGAACAGAUAGACGACAAUGUUACGAACAGUCACGGGUAUUUCAAUCGAUUUCGUUUUUAACUUUUAGUCUCUUGUUUGCGGGUUUGUUUGUACAGGACAUGCCUUGAUUUUGACUUGAUUUUAAUUUACCGGUUUUGCAUCAAAUUACUUGUAAACAGGUUAUGACGUUUUGAGACCAGCAGAUAGGAAAAAAGGUUCAAUCGACGAUACGAGUGUGGUUCUUUUACGACUUUAAGACAGAUAACAUGGAAUCUAAUUGUUAAUUAACACCAGGAAAUCUUUUGUUUGCUAUCUUAAGACCAGUAGUAAGUACAGAGGCUUAGGAAUAGAAAUCGCUUAAAUGUGGAAGACGAAGACAGUAACAAUCUCAAUAGUGGUGGGUACUCUUGGAGUAAAUAUUAGGAAAGGCACCGAGAAACAGUUCGGUGUCAUUAAUCAAAUU